rnacentral:rRNA from 1 species
GAUGAACGCUGGCUACAGGCUUAACACAUGCAAGUCGAGGGGAAACGCCGGGGAAGCUUGCUUCCCCGGGCGUCGACCGGCGCACGGGUGAGUAACGCGUAUCCAACCUGCCUCUGACUGAGGGAUAACCCGUCGAAAGUCGGCCUAAUACCUCAUGGCAUCGUCUGCGGGCAUCCAACGACGAUUAAAGAUUUCAUCGGUCAGGGAUGGGGAUGCGUCUGAUUAGCUUGUUGGCGGGGUAACGGCCCACCAAGGCUACGAUCAGUAGGGGUUCUGAGAGGAAGGUCCCCCACAUGGGAACUGAGACACGGUCCAAACUCCUACGGGAGGCAGCAGUGAGGAAUAUUGGUCAAUGGGCGGGAGCCUGAACCAGCCAAGUAGCGUGCAGGAUGACGGCCCUAUGGGUUGUAAACUGCUUUUAUGCGGGGAUAAAGUGAGGGACGUGUCCUUCAUUGCAGGUACCGCAUGAAUAAGGACCGGCUAAUUCCGUG